rnacentral:rRNA from 1 species
UGGGGAAUAUUGCACAAUGGGCGCAAGCCUGAUGCAGCAACGCCGCGUGAACGAUGAAGGUCUUCGGAUCGUAAAGUUCUGUUGCAGGGGAAGAUAAUGACGGUACCCUGUGAGGAAGCCCCGGCUAACUACGUGCCAGCAGCCGCGGUAAUACGUAAGGUCCGAGCGUUGUCCGGAAUCAUUCGGCGUAAAGGGUACGUAGGCGGAUAAGCAAGUUAGAAGUGAAAUCCUAUAGCUCAACUAUAGUAAGCUUUUAAAACUGCUCAUCUUGAGGUAUGGAAGGGAAAGUGGAAUUCCUAGUGUAGCGGUGAAAUGCGCAGAUAUUAGGAGGAAUACCGGUGGCGAAGGCGACUUACUGGCCAUAUACUGACGCUGAGGUACGAAAGAGUGGGUAGCAAACAGG